rnacentral:rRNA from 1 species
AGGGCACCACCAGGAGUGGAGCCUGCGGCUUAAUUUGACUCAACACGGGAAAUCUCACCAGGCCCGGACACUGGAAGGAUUGACAGAUUGAGAGCUCUUUCUCGAUUCGGUGGGUGGUGGUGCAUGGCCGUUCUUAGUUGGUGGAGUGAUUUGUCUGGUUAAUUCCGAUAACGAACGAGACUCUGUCCUGCUAAAUAGUUCCCGCGUCCUUUGUUGCGCGGGAAAUUCUUCUUAGAGGGACUGGCGGCGUCUAGCCGCACGAGAUUGAGCAAUAACAGGUCUGUGAUGCCCUUAGAUGUUCGGGGCCGCACGCGCGCUACACUGAAGGGAUCAGCGUGUCUUCCCUUCCCGAGAGGGACGGGUAACCCGCUGAACCCCCUUCGUGGUAGGGAUCGGGGCUUGCAAUUAUUCCCCGUGAACCAGGAAUUCCCAGUAAGCGCAAGUCAUAAGCUUGCGUUGAUUACGUCCCUGCCCUUUGUACACACCGCCCGUCGCUACUACCGAUUGAACGUUUUAGUG